GCUUCGGCUGGAUUAUUUUUAUCACCCUUGUCUUUUGCGCACUUGUUGUUUCCUGGGCGGGUUCGCCCGCCACCAGGACCACACCAUAAACCUUUUUUAUGCAGUUGCAAUCAGCGUCAGUAUAACAAAUGUAAAUCAUUUACAACUUUCAACAACGGAUCUCUUGGUUCUGGCAUCGAUGAAGAACGCAGCGAAAUGCGAUACGUAGUGUGAAUUGCAGAAUUCAGUGAAUCAUCGAAUCUUUGAACGCACAUUGCGCCCUUUGGUAUUCCAAAGGGCAUGCCUGUUCGAGCGUCAUUUGUACCCUCAAGCUUUGCUUGGUGUUGGGCGUCUUUUGUCUUUGGCCUCGCCCAAAGACUCGCCUUAAAACGAUUGGCAGCCGGCCUACUGGUUUCGCAGCGCAGCACAUUUUUGCGCUUGCAAUCAGCAAAAAGGACGGCAAUCCAUCAAGACUACAUUUUUACGUUUGACCUCGGAUCAGGUAGGGAUACCCGCUGAACUUAAGCAUAUCAAUAAGCGGAGGAA
rnacentral:rRNA from 1 species